rnacentral:rRNA from 1 species
CAGUAGCCACGGUAAUACGUAGGGUGCAAGCGUUGUCCGGAAUUAUUGGGCGUAAAGAGCUCGUAGGCGGUCUGUCGCGUCUGAUGUGAAAUCCCCAGGCUCAACCUGGGGCUUGCAUUGGGUACGGGCAGGCUAGAGUGCGGUAGGGGAGAAUGGAAUUCCUGGUGUAGCGGUGGAAUGCGCAGAUAUCAGGAGGAACACCGAUGGCGAAGGCAGUGCUCUGGGCCGGAACUGACGCUGAGGAGCGAAAGCAUGGGGAGCGAACAGGAUUAGAUACCCGCGUAGUCCCUGUCUCUUAUAC